rnacentral:rRNA from 1 species
GGUUAAGUGACUAAGCGUACACGGUGGAUGCCUAGGCAGUCAGAGGCGAUGAAGGACGUGCUAAUCUGCGAUAAGCGUCGGUAAGCUGAUAUGAAGCGUUAUAACCGACGAUUUCCGAAUGGGGAAACCCAGUGCAACUCGUUGCACUAUCGUUAAGUGAAUACAUAGCUUAACGAAGCGAACCAGGGGAACUGAAACAUCUAAGUACCCUGAGGAAAAGAAAUCAACCGAGAUUCCCCUAGUAGCGGCGAGCGAACGGGGAGCAGCCCAGAACCUUAAUCAGCGUAUGUGUCAGAGGAACGGUCUGGAAAGUCCGGCGAUACAGGGUGAUAGCCCCGUACUUGAAAAUGCAUAUGUUGUGAGUUCGAUGAGUAGGGCGGGACACGUGACAUCCUGUCUGAAUAUGGGGGGACCAUCCUCCAAGGCUAAAUACUCCUGACUGACCGAUAGUGAACCAGUACCGUGAGGGAAAGGCGAAAAGAACCCCGGCGAGGGGAGUGAAAUAGAACCUGAAACCGUGUACGUACAAGCAGUGGGAGCCUCUUUUAUGGGGUGACUGCGUACCUUUUGUAUAAUGGGUCAGCGACUUAUAUUUUGUAGCAAGGUUAACCGAAUAGGGGAGCCGUAGGGAAACCGAGUCUUAACUGGGCGUCAAGUUGCAAGGUAUAGACCCGAAACCCGGUGAUCUAGCCAUGGGCAGGUUGAAGGUUGGGUAACACUAACUGGAGGACCGAACCGACUAAUGUUGAAAAAUUAGCGGAUGACUUGUGGCUGGGGGUGAAAGGCCAAUCAAACCGGGAGAUAGCUGGUUCUCCCCGAAAGCUAUUUAGGUAGCGCCUCGUGAACUCAUCUUCGGGGGUAGAGCACUGUUUCGACUAGGGGGUCAUCCCGACUUACCAACUCGAUGCAAACUACGAAUACCGAAGAAUGUUAUCACGGGAGACACACGGCGGGUGCUAACGUCCGUCGUGAAGAGGGAAACAACCCAGACCGCCAGCUAAGGUCCCAAAGUCAUAGUUAAGUGGGAAACGAUGUGGGAAGGCAUAGACAGCCAGGAUGUUGGCUUAGAAGCAGCCAUCAUUUAAAGAAAGCGUAAUAGCUCACUGGUCGAGUCGGCCUGCGCGGAAGAUGUAACGGGGCUAAACUAUGCACCGAAGCUGCGGCAGCGACACUUAGGUGUUGUUGGGUAGGGGAGCGUUCUGUAAGCCUGUGAAGGUGACCUGUGAGGGUUGCUGGAGGUAUCAGAAGUGCGAAUGCUGACAUAAGUAACGAUAAAGCGGGUGAAAAACCCGCUCGCCGGAAGACCAAGGGUUCCUGUCCAACGUUAAUCGGGGCAGGGUGAGUCGACCCCUAAGGCGAGGCCGAAAGGCGUAGUCGAUGGGAAACAGGUUAAUAUUCCUGUACUCGGUGUUACUGCGAAGGGGGGACGGAGAAGGCUAGGCUAUCCGGGCGACGGUUGUCCCGGUUUAAGCGUGUAGGGGGUGUGACUUGGUAAAUCCGGUCGCAUA